UUAAAAUGUUGUCAUAAAUAGCAUAGACACCUCUGAGUUUUGAGAACCACAUGUGUUAAUUGUGCGAGUAUAAUCAUUGAUAAUCAUGCACAAGAUUGACUUUUAAAAGCCUAUAUAUUGAAAUUUUCUGAAAAUAUUGCAUGCAUUUAUUAAUAUGACCAAUUUCAAGAAAUGCACAAAGAUGUGAGAUGAUUUAUAUAAUUGUAAUUUCAGGAAUUUACAGUAAAGGCUUUUAUCCUCACUGCAUUUUGCACUUUUCCUAAUUCAGGAGCCAGAAGUUAUGGCCUUUGUGACCUUUGUAUGAUUUUUAUUUUAGUUUCUUUUUUUUAUAUUGAAGAGUUUAGUAUGACGUCCAUUAUCACUCAACUAGUAUACAUUUUUGUUUAAUGGCAAGCUAAAGCAUGCCUCAGAGGGUUGGACAUGUUGGAACCCCCUUUCUUUAUUGGACGAUCAAUGCAUUUGAAUGGGGACAUGUAGUUGGACCCCCCCCCCCAAAAAAAAAAAUUGUCCUGGGUUAGGAACCCCUCCUUUAUAUGACUAGAUCCACCCCAGUCUCAGGUUGCGGGAUUUUCUCGUUGCAAUGAAGACCAUCGGUGACCUAUGGCUGUUAUCUGCUCUUUGGUCAUGUUGUUAUCUCUUUGAUACAUUCCCCAUUUCCAUUUCCAUUUUCUUUUCGGUUCUAUUAUAAAUAUUAGAAACGAGUUUGGCGCCUUUACAAAAAUAUAAUUGUCUGUGCUGAUAGGGGAGUAUGUGUGCAUACCAAUAUUUAAAUUUUCUAGGCCUUCUUUUUGAAUAUUUUGUGCAUUUCUUGGUAAAAUACUGUCAGACCUCGAGUGCUGUUGUUUUACAAAAACGGUCAAGUAAUGUAGGGGAAAGAAACUAACUAAAAAGACCAAAAUAAGCCACAACUAAUGGGGGUCUCAUUGGGGGUUCUGUUCACGGAUCCCGCUUAGUUACUACUUAUUUUUUUAGAUUCUCGCAUGAUGCCAUCCCGCGUACACUAUGUAAGUGAACAAUUCUGCUAUUUUUGUAAUUUCCCAUGUCCCGCUAAACUUCAUUUCGCGUUUUCACGGCACAAUAAUUUGAGGGAGGAUAGGACCUUUAUCGGGACUGCGGGAUCGGGUGUUUUUAAGCUCUGGAUUUCGGGAUUGACCCUUUCGGGAUACGAUAAUUCUUUUUUCGAAUUUCGGGACCUCUGGAUUUCGUGUUUUUAAGCUCGGGAUUUCGGGAUCAGUACCCCUCCUACCCUCCCUCAUAAUUUGACUUUCAUGUGUCACGUUUACAAAAAAUACGCCUCGACAAUCCCGAGUCCCGCUCAGACCCCCCUUAUAGGUACAUAAUGAAUAGUUUACUAUGUAGUCAGUAGUCGGGUCAAAUACACAUGUAUAUACUUUUAGACGACCUUAGAUUCAUUUCACAGCGAAAAUACUCAUUAAUAUUGAACAUUCACAUUUAGAUUUUAUAACUUUUAAAAUUAAGACCAUAUAGAUUUAAGAUCAUUUAAUCGAAAGAUUAUAAUUUGUCAAUGCGCAACUGUAACCAGGUACUGCAUUUUUUUUUUUGCAUGCGUCAAGAAACAGUUAAAAGUGCCGGGAAUAGAAAAGCAAGUUAAACUUCUCAUCUGGACUUUUUAAUAAGUCUGUAUACCGGACCUCUUCUCUAUUUUGGGAUUGAAAAAAAAAUCUAAAGUUAAAAAUGCGGUUUUGAGCCUAUUUCUUCUUUUUAAUUUGGUAACACGUUAAGCCAUUAGUGACACUAAUAUGGUAUAUUACCAAUAAUAAGGCCAUAUAUUUCGGUGUGUAGAAAUACCGCAAAAGACUUCUUAGUGCACUAAGAAGAAAGUUUUUGCAUUAAGGACACUAAAACGAUGUUUUAAGAUCACAGCGAACAUGAAUAUAAGAGGAUAUGAUUAAAUACCUCAAAUCUAUAAAGUUAGGUAUCAAUAGAUUUUGUAAUUUUGAAGUUAAAUGACUUUUUAAUCAACGCCUGCCACUCGCCACGUGACCAACGGUUUAUUGCAGAUUCCCGAAUCAUCAUGUUCAAUCAACCUAAUCCAAUAAACAAUUGUCUUUUGAUCGUUACUUAUUGAUUAAUCAAUGGUUGUUAACCUAACGGUUUAGCGUGGUAUAAAUUCAAGUUUAUGAAAGAAAAAUAAAAAAUAAAUUUUGUGUUUUAAAACUUUGCCUUUGUUAUAUAUAUUUAGUUUUUAAGGAAAUUGCUAUGCAAGCUUUUUUUUUAUUUAAAGAACCCUAUUUUGAGAUUAAAAUUGAGAAACAAAUGCUUUUGAUAUUUCAUUUCCUUACUAACAACACAAGAGUUUACAUACUAUCAUUAUUCCUUGAAAGACAUUUGAGAGUAUGUGGUGUCCAUGGGGUUCUUCAAAAUCCGAUUACAGAAGUAAUAUAUAGAAAAACUCCAAGAGGUAAAAUUAUUUUACGUUUUUAAAAAGAGAAUUAUAGAAUAAAUCAUAACUGUCUUCUAUGAACGAUAACUUUAAACUGGUGUCAAUGCUUUUUUUUUAACAAUUCAUCUUUAUUUCAACAAUUGAAGAUGAAUACCAUUUUAUUUUAUAAUGUAAUAAGCACUAUGGGCAGGCGCGGAUCCAGAGCUUGAAGUGGGGGUUUGGGGGAGGGGUUAUGUGAGAAAUGUUUAAAACACUAAGAGAAGUUUUCAUGUUAUACCAAACCAUAUGUUUUCCAAAUGUUUUUCAAAAAUGGCACACUUUUUGUUCAUCCGGCAUAUGGUUACUCUAAAUAAAAUUUUUAAGUAUUAAUUUUAUAAGUUUAAUUAUUUGAUUACAGAUCGUAUCUACCCGUUUUGCAAUUGUUGUAUCACUCUAAGGGAGGCUAAUAAAGAUAUAUAUAAUAAAAAAUAUAGAGAUAGCAGCCUUGGAUUGUCUUAAUUAAAUCCUUUGGUCCUCUAAUUAUCAAGUUACCCUCUGGCCAAUGUUAUUAUGACUUGUGUAUAUUUAAAGAAGUGUAGCGACAACGUGUCACUCUAUUCAGUGCUAGAUAUUCAAAUUAUAGUAAAGAUAACAUUAAAACAAGAAAUGGUUAAUACAAAAAAUAUUUUAAGAUUUUCAACCGGGGGUGGGCUCGCUUUAACCCCCUAAAUCCGCUAAUGAUGUGGGAGAACUAAAUUAUUUAGUUAACUUAAUCAUAUGACUCUUAAGCCCGUUCUGCCAUUAUUAAGAAACGCUAAAGAACGGAAAUGUAUGAUUUUAAGAUUUGGAAAUAAAUGAAAUUGGUGUCACAAAUGGUAUGUCUGCUUGUAUUUAAAAUAUUUUAUAAAUAGAUAUAAUGCAGGGGCGGAUACAGGAUUUGACGUUAGGGGGCGCAGAAUAAAAUUUCGAAAAUUUUUUGAGGUUAAAAUUAUCAAAGUUAUUGAAAUAUUCUUCUAGAGUGGGUGCAAUGUAGAUAGAUAUCUUGCCAAGCGAAGUGUGGCGAGAAACAUUUGUGGUAAAAUGAGCGAGAAAUUAAAGUUUCAAUCUAAAACCGCAUAAUUUAAAUGACAAUCUACAUUAACCAUAAUUAACAAAAAAUCUAUUAGUUUCUGUUCAUUGACUACCUCUAUAUAUUUACCAGAAAACGGGACUGAACAAAAGUAGAAUAGAAACAAUUCUGAGUACACAAACUGAUUCUCCAUAUAAAAAAAGUGAGACGAAGCAAAUGACGAUAGCUCAUCUGACCAAUAUAAGG
rnacentral:lncRNA from 1 species